rnacentral:rRNA from 1 species
GUAUAGCAAUAGCUAAUUGCACCAAGACAUAUUUGAUGCAAUAUCGACUUAGUCGAAUAAAAUUCUAGGUAGUGUUAUGAUAAUGACAUUUUCUGCCUAUUAGUCUUGACCAAAUUACGUGCCAGCAGUCGCGGUAAUACGUAGAAGACUAGUGUUAUUCAUCUUUAAUAGGUUUAAAGGGUACCUAGACGGUAAAUCAAGCCUUAAACGGGACUAAUUUACUAGAGUUACUUAUGAGGGGGCACUAAAGUACUGAUGGUGGAGAGAUGAAAUUCUUAGAUACCUUUUUUCGAAAGAAAAACAAUGGCACAGGUAUAGGCGAAAGCAUCCCCUUAUGUGAUAACUGACGUUGAGGGACGAAGGCUUUGAGUAGCGAACAGGAUUAGAUACCCUGAUAGUUGAAGCAGUAAAUGAUGAAUGUCAUAGAUUAGACGUUAGUUUAUUCUAUAAAUGAAAGUGUAAGCAUUCCACCUCAAGAGUAAUUUGGCAACAUUGGAACUGAAAUCAUUAGACCGUUUCUGAAACCAGUAGUGAAGUAUGUUGUUUAAUUUGAUAAUCCGCAAAAAACCUUACCACAAUUUGAAUAUUUAUAUUUUUUAUUUUCCAUAAACUUUUUUAUAAGAUAAAAAAGGGAGAAAAAAGAUGUUUUUACAAGCGUUGCACGGCUGUCUUCAGUUAAUGUCGUGAGAUUUUGGUUAGCUCCAUUAAAUUAACGUAAACCCUUGCUAUAUUUUUACAUAUAGUAGUUCUCCAUCAUAUUGGAUAAGAUAACAGGGACUAAGACAAGUCAUCAUGGCCUGAAUAUUGUGGGCUAUA